rnacentral:lncRNA from 1 species
UCAAAGCAAAAACGCGCGGAUCCUGGCUGCAUUCGGGUCGAUUUUCGGGUAUGUUGCAAAACGGCGUCGUUUUGGCCACUGGUACUUAAGUCCAAAACGACGCUGUGUUGUAUCCUAUAUAAAUAGAAAAAAAAAAGAAAAAAAACAUUUCAACUUUCAUUUUUUCAAAAAAAAUCUGAGAGUUCUCUCAGUCUCUCUCAUCCUUCCCCC